rnacentral:SRP_RNA from 1 species
GCCAGGCGCAGUGGUGCAUGCCUGUAGUCCCAGCUACUCGGGAGGCUGAGGUGGGAGGAUUGCUUGAGCCCAGGAGUUCUAGGCUGUAGUACGCUAUGCCAAUCAGGUGUCCGCACUGUUUGGCAUCAAUAUGGUGACCUCCUGGGAGCGGGGGACUACCAGGUUGCCUAAGGAGGGGUGAACUGGCCCAGGUCAGAAACGGAGCAGGUCAAAACUCCCAUGCUGAUCGGUAGUGGGAUCGCGCCUGUGAAUAGCCACUGCACUCCAGCCUGGGCAACAUAGCAAGACCCUGUCUCA